UGUUGUUGUUAGUGUUUGGUGGCGGCGGCGGGCGAGCAAAACCAGCUGCAAAGAUGGAGGAGAAGAGGAAAAGGAGGAGGUGGUUGUGGUUAUGAAGGGCUGCCGUGGCAGGGACAGCCGGUUAUAGUUUUCCUUGUUUUCCCCCUUGGUGGUGGUGGGGAGGAAGAAGAAGAGAGACAUCUGGGACAAGCCGGGCCCAAUAAAUUGCAAGCUUUCCAUCCUGCACGAACAUCUGCAAGAAAAGCAGCAGCAGGAACGCGCCAUUUUUCCCGAUCUUCUGGCAGGAUUCCAUAGAAGGACUUGCUCCUUUUGCCACAAGGGAUGCCCCAGCAGCGUUGGCAGAACGGCAUCUGACCAUCUCCGCAGUCAGCCCUCGCUCCCUACGCGAACGUCGCCAUAGGCCUAGCUCCACAAACAGCUGCCUUCUCCCACUUCCUGAUCGUUCAUCGAGCAGCCACCUACCAAGGACAACAUGAACUCUAAGAAUGAGUCGGCCUAGGAGCUGCCUUCAGGAAGGACCAGAAGAAGGGAAUUUGUCUAUAUAUUGCCUACCCUCCUUCUCCAAGGCAUUCUUAUCAAUAAGAGCUGAGCUGCCCAGCAAUUCCCAAGUGCAUCGCCUUUCUCCAAAGGAGACUAUCUGGCAUUAAUUUCCAUAAGGUAGACAAUAAAAACAUAUCUCCUGGGUCUCUAUUGGGUUGGGGGCUAAUUCUUUCCCAUAAAAAUCAGGAACAGAUUUUGCAUUUAUUUUGUCUCAUAAAGCUCAGUG